rnacentral:rRNA from 1 species
UACGGAGGGUGCAAGCGUUAUCCGGAUUCCCUGGGUUUAAAGGGUGCGUAGGAGGGCAGGGAAGUCCGUGGUGAAAUCCUAGAGCUUAACUCUAGAACUGCCGUGGAUACUCUCUGUCUUGAAUCCCGUGGAGAUGAGCGGAAUAUGUCAUGUAGCGGUGAAAUGCUUAGAUAUGACAUAGAACACCAAUUGCGAAGGCAGCUCGUUACACGAAGAUUGACUCUGAGGCACGAAAGCGUGGGGAUCAAACAGG